GCUCGCCCGAGCCCGAUUCUAUUUCCUCUCCUUCCCCGACUCUCUUCCCCGACCUUUUCCUUCUCUGUUUUCUCUCUCGUGGACAAGCGGCGCCGGAGGGAUUAGGGUUUCCAGCUCCGGCGAUUUCCUCUGCCGGCAUCGGCGGCUGUUGAGCUCAGAUCCGUGCGGCUCUAUUCCUCUCCGGAUCAGAGACACGACGUCGCGUCUUCUCUAGCAGACUGCCGACCUUCCUUCCCCGAUUCGACGCCACUGGGUCGAGUCUUUGCCAUCCGAUCGCCGGUGUGAAGAGAACAUUAGGGUCUUGAGGUGGUCAGCGAUCCUAGGUCAGGUCAUGGAUCGCUUGAUUGGAUCUUGGAUUCCUCUGCCGGAGCUAGGUCUUGGCAGACGAUGGCUAGUUGAGGGUCAGUAGAUUCAAUACAUUGCAUUAUGGAUUGGAUUAGGUGACACCUUCUGGAGGCAACCGAUCGAGUACUUGGACUUUCUCUUCUUCACUGUGAUUGAGGUCUCGGUUGAAGUGGAGAAGAAUUCCAGCAGGGAGGUCUUGUUGUGGUGUUCUUGAUCUAGUAGCUCAGUUUGGUUCCGGCAGCAUCUAUCCAGAUUGAGGUGUUGUUGAUGCUGGAAUUGUGGUCGUAAGGUGAGUUUCAACAGCAUCACCUGUGGCUUUAGAUCGUGAGGUGAUUCCUAACAGCAUCCUUUGAUCCAGCAGUUAAUAGGAUCUGUGAAUUGAGGACUCUGAUUCGAGACGAGCAUCUCGACAUUGGAUUAGGACUGGAUUGUACCUUCUAUUUG